AAAUUUUUACUUUUAUCCUUCCCCACAUUUUAGGUAUAUGGUGUUAUACUUUAUAUCCUUUUCUUUUGUGAAGCCCUUGACAGGUUUUUGUAGAUAAACUUAAUUUUGCUGCUUUUGUGUUUUCUACUUUUUUUUUUUUUUAAACUCCUACUAAUGGUCUAUCCUUUCCACUUGGAGUCCCCUUUUAACAUUUCUUGGAGUGCUGGUUUAGUGGUUUAGUGGCUUUUGUUGUU